rnacentral:lncRNA from 10 species
GCGAGCUCCGACGUGCAGCGGGGUCUGGCGCCGGCCCCUCCUCAUCACGCGCCCGGCCCAGGGUCGCUCAGCCGCCGCCACCGCCGCCGCCCCUUGGGUCGAUGGAGUCGGCGCGGAAGGCCCGCGCGCCCUGCGCCGCCGCCGCUCAGUGCCGCCGCCAGCACCUCCUCCGCCCCUCCGCCUCCCGGGCUCAUCCCGCGGGGGCGGCGUCACCUCCUCGCUGCCCAGGCCCGGGCACCGCGGGCGCCCCGCGGGCGGCAGCCGCCCCUCCCGAGCGCGAUCUCCAGGCUGGGUCCGGGGCCGGGCGGGGAGGGAGGAGAGACUGAGCGUGAAGGGAGAGGGCGCCCGAGUUUUCGGGGACGGAAGUGUGGAGAAUAGGAGCGUGUGAGGGGGCGCCCGAGGUGUCGGGGGCGGGGGAAGAGUAUGAGCAGGGGUGGGGGCAGGGGUGCCAGGUGUAGCAGGUAGGGAGGUAGAGGCGGCGAGUGGGGGCGCCCGAGGGACCGGGGCGGGGCGGGGAGCGUAAGGGUGGCAAGGCGCCCGAGAGUCAGGGCUGGAGCUGAAGGUGGGUGACAGGGAGGGGGCGCCCAGGUGUCAGGACCUGAGGAGAAAGAGUGCGCGUAGCGGGAGGGCCCCGAAGUGUCGGGGCGGGAUCCUGGAAGGAGGGAGAACGUGAGGAGGGAGGAAGGGUCCCUGGGGUGUCAGGGAUGGGGGCCAGGAAAGGGGCAGAGAGCUGGAGGCCCACAAGUGGGGAUAGCGGGGGAGGGAGGUUGGAGCGAGUGGGGAACGCAGGUGGUGUCGAGGGCGGGGACAGGGCGAGGGGAGCGGGGCGUGAGGAAGUUGUGGGAAACCGCGCUGGACGCUGAGAAUGUGCGGAAGGAUCCUGAGGGGAGGACGCGAGACAGCGCGAGGAGAGACGAGGAGAGUUAGGGUUGGCCGGGAGGGUGCGAAGAUGAAGCGACCACUGGAGGCUGUGAGGGUGAAAGGAGCAAGAAUCGUCUAGAGACGGGCUGGGCCGGUGCUGGGGCCAAAGGCUUCUGUCUGUCAGGCCCUUUUUGGCGCUCACUCUAGAAAGAAGAGGCGGAGACGCGAAGAGAUCGGGUUAGAGUCAGAUUUUCGAAGCACGGAGAUGGGUUCAAUGAAAGGACGAGGAAAGACGAGAAACCAGCGGCCGGAGAACGGAGAGUUCAACAAUUUUUAUGAAUUUCUAAUCCAACCUCAUCAUCCUAUGGGAAACAGAAGACCACCAAGAACAGCCAGCUGAGACAGAAUUUCACUGUGUUGCCCAAGCCAAUCUUAAACUCCUGGUCUCAAGCGAUCCUCCUGCCUUGGCCUCCCACUGUGCCUGGCCUAUGGACUCUGAAUUUUUUUAAAAGACUGGAAAAAACUUUUAUAAGAGAAUUGGAAAUUUGGACAAUGGAAUCUCAUUCUGUCACCAGGCUGAAGUGCAGUGACGUGAUCUUGGCUCACUGCAACCUCCACCUCCUGGGUUCAAGCGAUUCUCCUGCCUCAGCCUCCUGAGUAGCUGGGAUUACAGGUAUCUUGGCAGUAACCUCCUCCAUAUAUUUCCUUGGCCCUCAGCUUACAUCUAGCAAAAUGACUCUACUGGUUCCAGGCUUCACAUGCAUACAACAUGGUGUUGGAGGAACAGAGAUGUUUUCUCUUCCUGGUGUUUUCCCAGACAUUUCUUAGCUGGCAUUUCAAACAAGGGUCCUGAAAUUCACCCUGGUUGGGUCGUGUUCUCCCCUUCCCAUUCCCCAUCCCCACCCUCAACCGAAAAAUGAUGUAAGCAGGGGAAAUUGAAUGUACCAAUGUUUGUUUUUAAACAAGCCACAGACCCCUCCCCAACUCCCCGACUGAAGCUUGAAGUGGGAUCAGCUUUCCCUAAAGUACUUGAGCUUAUGGUAAAGCAUAUAUGUUAUCCAAGUUAAAGUCUGGACGCUGUUAGUAAUGGGAAGGCAAGUAAUGAAUGUUAGCUAUGGAGCCAACAGACAGUGUCCACUCCAUUGUCUUUAAGGCCCAACUAAAGAUAACCUCUUUACCAAUGUCGGUUUAUUUAUUCAUUUAUUUAUUCAUUGAGAUGGAGUCUCACUCUCUCACCCAAGCUGGAGUGCAGUGGAAUGAUCUCAGCUGACUGCAAUUUCUGCCUCCCAGGUUCAAGCAAUCUCCUGCUUCAGCCUCCCAAGUAGCUGGGAUUACAGGCGCACACCACCAUGCCCGGCUAAUUUUUGUAUUUUUAGUAGAGAUAGGGUUUCACCAUGUUGGCCAAGCUGGUCUCGGACACCUGACCUCAAGUGAUCUGCCUGCCUCGGCCCCCAAAGGUGUGAGCCACUGCACCUGGCUACAAUGUCAGUUUCUAUAAAAACUGCCUUGACUUGUUUUGUUUGCUUGUUUUGUUUGUUUGUGUUUUAAUUUUUAUUAUUUUUUUUUAGAGACAGGGUCUCAAUCUGUUGUCUAGGCUUGAGUGCAGUGGUGCAAUCAUAGCUCACUGAAGUGUUGGACUCCCAGGCUCAAGCAGUCCUCCCACCUCAGCCUCCCAAGUAGCUGAGACUACAGGCAUGCACCACCCUGUCUGGCUAAUUUUUUAUUUUUAGUAGAGAUGAGGUCUCACUAUGUUGCCCAAGGUGGCCUCAAACUCCUGGCCUCAAGUACUCCUGUGGCCUUAGCCUCCCAAAGCUCUGGGAUUGCAGGUAUGAGCCGCCAUGCCUGGCCUACUGUAUAUUUUAUGCAUUUGAUAUAAGUCUUGCCUCCCUAAGUAUAUUACAAGUCCCUUGAAGUUAAAGACAUUAGAUUCCUACUCAGUGCUGAGCUGCAACAGAGAGCACUCAAUGAUGGAUAAAAUAGUUUUAGCAUGCAUUCAGCGAUAUAUAUUUAGAAAGUGGAACUAGGUGGUUGAAAAAAGUGUAUAGAUGGGUGGAAGGGAAUAUUACAGCUCUUAGAAUUGUCCUAAGGUGAGAGUAACAAAUUAAGCAAUGAGUCCCUGGGUUCACUCAAGCAACUUCACUCUCUAAAACAAGAGCCCACAGAAUCCCAUUUCUGCUUUCAGAAUGAGUUUGAGGCCAAUAUUAUUUCCAUUUUUUUUCUUUUUCUUUCUUUCUUUUUUUUUUUUUUUUUUUUGAGACGGAGUUUCACUCUUGUUGCCCAGGCUGUUUUGAUCUCGGCUCACUGCAACCUCUGCCCCUGGGUUCAAGCGAUUCUCCUGUCUCAACCUCCCAAGCUGGGAUUACAAGCAUGCGCUACCACACCUGGCUAAUUUUGUAUUUUUAAUAGAGACGGGGUUUCUCUGUGUUGGUCAGGCUGGUCUCAAACUCCCAACCUCAGGUGAUCUGCCCACCUUGGCCCAGCCUCCAAUAUGAUUUUCUAAUAGCUGUGUUUGAUGAUUAUAUUUAUUCCUCCAUCAGUAGCUUUUUUAGCCUUGAAAAUAUCUAUUUAAGUUUCUUAUUUCCUUUGGAUCUAUCAAAGUGUUUUUCCCCAAGUGGCACCUGGGAAAACAUAUUCUAUUCAUUUAUUUUAUAACUGUUCCCUUGACCUCUUUAUUGCUUCCCUAUUACAACCCAAGAUGCUCUUGUAAACCUGACUUAAUAUUGGCAGUCUUCAUCCCUUGCAAAUGGAAGUGAUGACAGACCCAAUACUUUGUGUAAAAAUAUUUUGCUAUUUCUAUACAAAAUAUUUUAUUAAUGGAAACCACAUGUUAUGUAUUUUACAUAUGUUAUGACUUGAAAUUUAUGUUAUGACUUGAAAUUGGGGAAUCUGAUAUGUCUCUAAUAAUAAAGGCUUCACAGUACAACUGUUGUUUGUAGAUUUACAGAUGGCUGGCAUUUUAAUUUUUUAAUUUAAAUUUUUAAUUCAAAUAUGAUUGACCUGAAAUAUUAACAAAAAUUAUCCUUGAAUUGUUGCACUGCAAAAUAAGAAAGCAAAAUCAGCUAUCUAUGAUGCAACAUUUUAUUUAUAAAUUAAGAUUGUUAGCACUCAUCUAUUGAUUUUUCUCUCUAUUAAACAUACUCCUAAUAAUAAAGGGAAGGAAGGAUCUUUGUAAAGUUAAAUUUACCGUAGCAAAGAAUAGAGGUGAUAAUUAAUAACAUGUUAAAACUCCUU